rnacentral:rRNA from 1 species
UGGCUGUCGUCAGCUCGUGUCGUGAGAUGUUGGGUUAAGUCCUUUAACGAGCGCAACUCUUGCCGUUAGUCGCUAUCCCGUGAGGGAGCACUCUAACGGGACUGCCUGGGAAACCAGGAGGAAGGUGGGAAUGACGUCAAGUCCUCAUGGCCCUUAUGCCUAGGGCAACACACGUGUUACAAUGGUCGGUACAAAGGGUCGCAAUCUCGUAAGGGUGAGCUAAUCUCAGAAAGCCGAUCUAAGUUCGGAUUGAGGUCUGCAACUCGACCUCAUGAAGCUGAAAUCGCUAGUAAUCGCGCAUCAGAACGGCGCGGUGAAUACGUUCUCGGACCUUGUACACACCGCCCGUCACGCCACG